CUUGAAGACAUUAUGCUAAGGGAAAUCAGUCAUAAAAGGUCAGAGGCUAUAUGAUUCCACCUAUAUGGGGGGACUGGGACAGUUGGAUUCAUAGAGACAGAAAUUAGAAUGGGUGGUUGCCAGGGGCUGGGCAGGGAGGACCAACUUUCAGUUUGGGAAGAUGACAAAGUUCUGGAGAUGGAUGGUGGGGAUGGCUGUACAACAGUGUGAACGUGCUUAAUGCCACUGGACUGUAUAAAAAUGGAUAGGAAGGGGGGCACCUGGGUGGCUCAGUC